rnacentral:rRNA from 1 species
AGCGGACGGGUGAGUAACGCGUAAAGAACUUGCCCUUUAGACUGGGAUAACAGAGGGAAACUUCUGAUAAUACUGGAUAAGUUAGUAUAUCGCAUGAUAUGCAAAUUAAAGCUACGGCACUAAAGGAGAGCUUUGCGUCCUAUUAGCUAGUUGGUAAGGUAAGAGCUUACCAAGGCGAUGAUAGGUAGCCGGCCUGAGAGGGUGGACGGCCACAAGGGGACUGAGAUACGGCCCUUACUCCUACGGGAGGCAGCAGUC